rnacentral:rRNA from 1 species
AUUGAACGCUGGCGGCAGGCCUAACACAUGCAAGUCGAGCGGAUGACGGGAGCUUGCUCCUUGAUUCAGCGGCGGACGGGUGAGUAAUGCCUAGGAAUCUGCCUGGUAGUGGGGGACAACGUUUCGAAAGGAACGCUAAUACCGCAUACGUCCUACGGGAGAAAGCAGGGGACCUUCGGGCCUUGCGCUACCAGAUGAGCCUAGGUCGGAUUAGCUAGUUGGUGAGGUAAUGGCUCACCAAGGCGACGAUCCGUAACUGGUCUGAGAGGAUGAUCAGUCACACUGGAACUGAGACACGGUCCAGACUCCUACGGGAGGCAGCAGUGGGGAAUAUUGGACAAUGGGCGAAAGCCUGAUCCAGCCAUGCCGCGUGUGUGAAGAAGGUCUUCGGAUUGUAAAGCACUUUAAGUUGGGAGGAAGGGCAGUAAGUUAAUACCUUGCUGUUUUGACGUUACCGACAGAAUAAGCACCGGCUAACUCUGUGCCAGCCGCCGCAGUAAUAC